rnacentral:rRNA from 1 species
UACGGGGGGGGCAAGCGUUGUUCGGAAUUACUGGGCGUAAAGGGUUUGUAGGUGGCCGGCUAAGUCAGACGUGAAAUCCCUCAGCUUAACUGGGGAACUGCGUCUGGGACUGGUCGGCUUGAGGGCCGGAGAGGAACGCGGAAUUCCAGGUGUAGAGGUGAAAUUCGUAGAUAUCAGGAGGAACACCAGUGGCGAAGGCGGCUUCCUGGACACCAACUGACGCUGAGACGCGAAAGCGUGGGGAGCAAACAGG